rnacentral:rRNA from 1 species
CUUGACAACGGAUAUCUCAGCUCUCGCAUCAAUGAAGAACAUAGUGAAAUGCGAUACUUUGUGUGAAUUGCAGAAUCCCGUGAACCAUGGAGUUUUUGAAUGCAAGUUGUGCCCGAAGCCUUCUGGCCAAGGGCACGUCUUCCUGGGCAUCACG